CACAUGCAAGUCGAACGAACCUUCGGGUUAGUGGCGGACGGGUGAGUAACGCGUGAGAAUCUGCCCUCAGGAGGGGGAUAACGGCUGGAAACGGCCGCUAAUACCCCAUAUGCCGAGAGGUGAAAUGAAUUUCGCCUGAGGAUGAGCUCGCGUCUGAUUAGCUAGUUGGUGGGGUAAAGGCCUACCAAGGCUUCGAUCAGUAGCUGGUCUGAGAGGAUGAUCANCCACACUGGGACUGAGACACGGCCCANACUCCUACGGGAGGCAGCAGUGGGGAAUUUUCCNCAAUGGGCGAAAGCCUGACGGAGCAACGCCGCGUGAGGGAUGAAGGCCUCUGGGCUGUAAACCUCUUUUNUCAAGGAAGAAGAUCUGACGGUACUUNNUGAAUAAGCCACGGCUAAUUCCNUGCC
rnacentral:rRNA from 1 species